AGAAGCAAGCUUCGUGUCAUGCAGCAGAGGCUGUCUGAUUUAUGUAUCAGGAACCAGCAGGUUCCUGAACCCGCUUCCUGUAUCACUGGGACUUUUUCUGCUUGUGUCUUGAGGAUUGCUCAUCUCCCAUGAGGCUUUAAAUCACUUUUUUGUUCUCAAGAAGCAGGCUUCUCAAGAAGCCAGGCACUUAGCCUAUGGGAGCCAGGAAAGGGGGUGUGUAGUCACCUCGGCCAAAACCCGGCUUUGGGCAGAAACAUGCGCCCCAGCUUCUUUCCUUAGCUGUCUCCAGGAACCGGAUGUUGCAGAUUCUCUGAGCAGUUCUCUCCGAUGACACCUCAACAUGCAGUCUGGUGCAGGUGCCACUGUCACACAGAGAUGGGAAGGGCAUGUGCGGGUCACUUGGAAGAAACCCUGUGACCCCGAUGAGUGCAAUGUGGUAUAAUUUAGUAGCCCAUGCUCCUAGUUUGUCUUCUUGCAUGUGUGUGGAUUCCCUCCCAGGCAGGGAUGUAGGACAAAUCUAUCCCAGAGCUCCAUCCUUCCAGCUCAGUCUCCUUGUUGUGUGUGUGUUUUCUCCUCUAAUUUUUAACGUCUGUGGGUACAUAGUAGAUAUACAUAUAUGUGUGUGUGUGUGUGUGUGUGUGUGUGUGUGUGUGUGUGUGUGUAUGUAUAUAUAUAUGUAUGGGGUAUGCAUAUAUUUGUAUGGGGUAUAUGAGAUAUGUUGAUAGAGGCAUGCAAUAUGUAAUAAUCACACAGGGUAAAUGGGAUAUCCAUCACCUCAAAUAUUUAUCCUUUGUGUUACAAACAGUGCAAUUAUAUUUUUAUUUUUAAAUGUGCAAUUAAAUUAUUAUUGACUAUAGUCACACUGUUGUAUUAUCAAAUACUAGUUCUUAUUCAUUCUUUCUAUUUUUUUGUACCCAUUAACCAUCCCCACUUCUUCCCCAACCCCCACUACCCUUCAGCCUCUGGUAACCAUCCUUCUACUCUCUAUGCCCACAAGUUCAAUUGUUUUAAUUUUUACCUCUCACAAGCAAGUGAGAACGUGCAAAGUUUGUCUGUCUGUGCCUGGCUUAUUUCACGUAACAUAAUGAUCUUCAAUUCCAUCCAUGUCAUUGUGAAUGACAGGAUCUAAUUCUUUUUUAGCUGAAUAGUACUUCAUUGUGUAUAUGUACCACAUUUUCUUUAUCCACUCAUCGGUGAUAGACGCUUAGGUCGCUUCCAACCUUGGCUAUUGUGAAUAGUGCUGUAAUAAACAUGGGAGUACAGAUAUCUCUUCAAUAUACUGAUUUCUUUUCUUUUAGGUGUAUACCUACCAGUGAGAUUGUGGAUCAUAUGGUAGCUCUAUUUUUAGUUUUUUGAGGAACCUUCAAACCAUUCUCCACAGUGGUUGUACUAACUUAUAUUCCCAACAACAGUGUACAAGGGUACUUUUUCUCCACAUCCUUGUCAGCAUUUGUUAUUACCUGUCUUUUGGAUAAAAGCCAUUUUAAUUUAAUUGGGGCUGUGUUGUAUUCUGGGAGUUGCCUUUAUUUUGGAGUUUGUGUCUAACUUUUCAUUGAGGAGAAGGAACUAGUAUUGGCAGAAGGAGGAUCCCGCCCUUUUUCAUGAGUUAAACUAUAAGAAUGGGAUACUGGAAGUGUAACCAAUGCUCACAGGGAGACUUGAAAGAGUAGGGAAGUGUUUUUAGAGUCCAUUGUAACAGGUCAUAGGCACUCUCUGAUGGGCCUCCCCAUGGGGAUCAGGUAAUAAAAGCUGGUGAGAUAUGUGAACUUUAUCCUCACUGUUUUCUUCCUUCCUUUCCCCAGCACUCAACUGUCCUCCUCACAACUAUUCCCAGUGGUGUGUGCUCGAGUCAGCAUGUACCAACUCAUAAAAUUGUUAAAUUUUCAGGAAUCUGGAUGGGCACAGUGGCACGCCUGUAACCCCACCAUUUGUGGAGGCCUAGGUGGGAGAAUUUUUGAGGCCAAGAGUUUGAAAAUAGUCUGGGCGAUAGAGUGAGACCUCAUGUCUACAAACAAUUUUUUUUAAUAAAAAUAAAAAAUAGAUUUUCAGGAAUCUUGUGAGGUGCUUGAUGAACAUGGCCAUUAUUAAACAUAUAAAAUUAAAUUAAAUUAUAUAAACUUACAGUUAAGCUGGGCAUGGUGGUACAUGCCUGUAGUCCCAGGUACUUGAGAGGCUGAAGCAUGAGGACCCCUUGAGCCCAAGAGUUUGAGGCUGUAGUAUCUUUAUAGCAGUGUGAAAACGGACUAUCAUGAUCAUGCCUGUUGGUGUGGUUUGCCGCUGUGUCCCCACCCAAAUUUUAUCUCGAAUUGUAAUCCCCAUAAUCCCCAAGUGUUGAGAAAGGGACAAGGUGGGAGGUGAUUGGAUCAUGGGGGCAGUUUCCCCUCCAUGCCGGUCUUAAGACAGUGAGUGAGUUCUCACAAGAUUGGAUGGUUUUAUAAGGCAGUAUUUUCUGCUCUUGGCUGCUCUUCUCUCUCCUACUGUGAUGUGAAGAAGGUCCUUGCUUCUCCUUUGCCUUCCACCAUGAUUGUAAGUUUCCUGGGGCCUCCUUAGCCAUGUGGAACUGCAAGUCGAUUAAACCUUUUUCCUUUAUAAAUUACCCAGUCUUGGGUAGUAUCUUUAUAGCAGUGUGAGAGUGGACUAAUACACCUGUAAAUAGCCGCUGCACUCCAGCCUGGGCAACAGAGCAAAACCCUGCCUUUAAAAAAAACUUCACAACUAAAUAAAUUAUAUUAAAUAGAGGGAAUAAAAUCUCAAAGCUCAUUGUUUCUUAAUUAUUUUAUGACAUUACUGAUAUCUAUGUUCUUGAGGUAAUUGACAUCUCUUAUGUGUCUACAGUGGAAAUUAAAUACUGGAACAUUGGUGCUUCUGGACCUCUCUUCCCCACUCUGCAUUCAAUGGCAUAGUGUUGGGAGCUUGAAACUGGCCAUGGUGAGAGUUUAUGCCAUGGAAAUCAGCAAGCAAUAUAAAUCAGAACUUUACUGUUUUGUUGAUUGUCUAAAUGUAAGAAAGUAAUAGAGAAAACAUAAUGAUGCAGAGUAAACUUAAACAUGUGCCAUGACUAUGGCCCUUACAUUAGGAUUAGCAUAAAAAAUUGAGGAAACAUUUUUCCAGUAUUCAAAAACUAUCAUCUGAUUCAGCAAAAAGUCACUAGUGUCACUGAUGAGCAAGUGAUGUUCCAACAUAUGUUUUUGUUGUUUCACAUUUCUUUAACUUCAAAAAAGACAUUAACCAACAUUCAUGUUGGAACUACAUUCCUUUGUCACUUGUAAACACAGUUUGGCUGUGGAUAUGAAUUAAGCCAAUAUGAAAGCAAACAGCCUGUGAGAUCUGUGGCUAUAUGGAAUUUACAAUAAAGAGGAUUGUACAUUUUAUUAAAAUACAAUAAAUUUUAUUUUAUAAAUUGCGUGUUACACAUUCUUCGUAUAAGCAAAAUUUAUAACAAGCUCAUUUACAUAUAUGCAUAUAUUAUUUUUCAGAGAUCUGGCUCUUAACCAUUUACCAACACACCACUGUUACAAUAACUGAGAAUCCAAAUGGUGGAGUGAAUGGCAUACUGUCUACGUAUUCAUAAAAUAUCAGUUGAAAUAACUAAAUGAUGUGAGAAUAUUGGCAUCCUGUAAAAAUGGGAAACCAAUGAUCCAGGUCUGAUUUCAAGACUGGUGUUCUCUCCUCAAGCUGCACGGCUCCUGGAAUGCAUGCUGUCUAUUCAUGUCAAACCUUCCUCUCUCAAAGACAGACACUUAUUCUCUUGUUUACUUUGCCCUUCCUCUCAUUUCCAGAAUUAGACCUUCUCUAGACUCGCUAUGAGGCCUCUCCACUCUGAUCUCCUGGAUCCCCUCUACACAGAUAACUGAGCUAAUGCUAGGCACUAUAUGAAGAGUUUUCCUGUUUGGUGCAAUCUAGAACUAAAUAAAAACAUACAUUGAAUGAGGGUCAGAAAUGGUUUAGAUGAAGGUUCUGAGGUUCUAGAGUGGAUUCUAUAUAGAGUCCUCUCUGCCCCCAAAUUCUUCUUCACCUGGAACGUCAGAAUGUGGACUUAUUUGGAAUCAGGAUCUUUCAGAUGUAAUUAAGGUAAGAAUUGAGAUGAGAUUAUACUGGGUGAAUCAGAGUGAUCCCCAAAUCCAAUGAGAGUAGUGCAUCUUUCUAAGAAAUAGAAAAAGGACACACAGAGACACAAAGAAGAUGGCCAUGUGAAAAGACAAAGCAGAGACUAGAGCUAUGCAGCCACAAUUCAACGAACACCAGAGACCACCAGACGCUGGAAGAGGCAGAGAAAGAUUCUCCCCUUGAGCUUUCAGAAGGAGCAGGUCUUGCCAAUAUGUUAAUUUUAGACCUUGUGCCUACAGAACGGUGGGAGAAUGAAUUUCUGUUGUUUUAAGUCAUCAGGCUUGUGAUAAUUUUUUACAGCAGCCACAGGAAACUAAUACAGGACCUGAGGGGCAAUGUGACUAACCAGAGAUUUGCAGUUAGUACAUUUAGUAUACUGAGCUGCUUCCUUGAGCUAUUAAGAGCAGAUGUCAACAGACCAACAACAGAAGAUAUACAGGUGAUAGUGCCUUGUAGUUACAAAGCCAUUUUCAAAAGCCUUCACAUUCACAGCCUUAUUUGAUCCUCCUAACAGCCCUGCAAAGGAGCUGGUGGUGUUUGUAAGGCAGGAUCUGGACCAAACUUGGGAAUCCUGACACUGAUCAGAGCUCUUUCCUUUUUCCUGGUGAGUAUCACCAUGAAUACUCAAGAGAAUAAGGAGGAAGGAAAUCUUGCUAUUGAACUCCCUGGAUGCCUGGGGUUUCCACAGUGUUACUUCAUUGAUCUUGGUAGCAGUAAGAAGCAGGAGUAGUUAUCCCCAUUUUACAAAUUGAAGUAUAGUGCUGCUAAAUAACUUGCUCAAUGGCUCAGAGCCAAAAAAAAUGCAAGAGUUGGAUUCAAACCCUGGAUUAUCUGACUCCAGAGUCUGUGCUCUAUCCAUUCACCAUACCACUUGCAUUAUACCAAGUGUGGGGAAAAGAAAGAGAGAUCAGACUGUUACUGUGUCUAUGUAGAAAGAAGUAGACAUAAGAGACUCCAUUUUGUUCUGUACUAAGAAAAAUUCUUCUGCCUUGAGAUGCUGUUAUCUGUAACCCUACCCCCAACCCUGUGCUCGCUGAAACACGUGCUGUGUCAACUCAAGGUUAAAUGGAUUAAGGGCUGUGCAGGAUGUGCUUUGUUAAACAAAUGCUUGAAGGCAGCAUGCUUGUUGAAAGUCGUCACCACUCCCUACUCUCAAGUACCCAGAGACACAAUACACUGCGGAAGCCCACAGGGACCUCUGCCUAGGAAAGCCAGGUAUUGUCCAAGGUUUCUCCCCAUGUGACAGUCUGAAAUAUGGCCUUGCGGGAAGGGAAAGACCUGACCGUCCCCCAGCGUGACACCUGUAAAGGGUCUGUGCUGAGGAGGAUUAGUAAAAGAGGAAGGCCUCUUUGCAGUUGAGAUAAGAGAAAAGCAUCUGUCUCCUGCUCGUCCCUGGGCAAUGGAAUGUCUCGGUGUAAAAGCUGAUUGUAUAUUCCAUCUACUGAGAUAGGAGAAAACCACCUUAGGGCUGGAGGUGAGACAUGCUGGAGGCAAUACUGCUCUUUAAGGCAUUGAGAUGUUUAUGUAUAUGCACCUCAAAAGCACAGCACUUUUUGCUUUACCUUGUUUAUGAUGCAGAGACAUUUGUUCGCAUGUUUUCCUGCUGGCCCUGUCUCCACUAUUACCCUAUUGUCCUGCCACAUCCCCCUCUCUGAGAAACACCUGAUAAUGAUCAAUAAAUACUAAGGGAACUCAGAGACUGGUGCUGGUGCGGGUCCUCCAUAUGCUGAGCGCUGGUCCCCUGGGCCCACUUUUCUUUCUCUAUACUUUUUCUCUGUGUCUCUUUCUUUUCUCAAGUCUCUCAUUCCACCCGACGAGAAACGCCCACAGGUGUGGAGGGGCAGGAAUCUUAGACAGUCUUCAGGCUCUUAUUGGCCAAUGGCUCAUUAUCUGUGAAACAUUCCUUCUGGCACAGGCCACAGCGUGGGCAGUAGGAGAAUCCUAGGUGAGCACUAUUUCCCAUCCUGGCCUCCCGUGUCUGUGGCUCAGCACCAUUCUUUCCCUUUGGUGAUGCAGAGCCCCAACCUGAGAAUGAGGAGGACUAUAUUUCUGUAGAAAAUAGCCUUCCCCAAAAAACCUCAAGUGGGUUAUGCAUGGAAGCCAUCUCCUACCUCUUAAACUCUUCAAUGGGUCCCUAAGCCUUGCCACUCUCUCUCCUGACACUGUGGCUACGGGCACCAACGUCACCUGCCUGACAGUGUCUGGUCUGGACUGCUCCUGAGUGUCUUGGCUUCCCAGCCAAAGGUCAUCAUCAUCACAGCCUCUGACCAGAGGUCCCCUAUAGCAUGAACUGACCCCACAGAGAAGGGCCACUAAGGCCAGAUCACCUGGCCACAUGGAGCUCAUCAUGAGCACAUUUAUCUGGAUAAGGAAAAAAAAACCUGCAAAACCAAAAUGAAAAUACAGAAUUUCCCCAAACUCCGAAACCUCUCCUAGUAGACCUGACUGAAGAGUCUAAAACUGGCCUGGGGAAAGCACUGGGAAAAAACACCCUGGGGUCCACCCUGCUGGGUAAGAUGAGGAAGCCCACAGGGCAGAUGGCUGAUAUGGAGGCUGAGCAGACUAGUCAACCAGAUAGCCCUGUUGUGGCGCUGGGGCUGUUAGGGUUGAGGGGAGAGUGGAAAGAAAACUGGGCUUUGAAGUGGCUCUAGCCCAGAUCCAGGCCCAGGCUCUACUCAGCUCCUUUAUGCUGAAUGUUCAUGCCUGCCAUCAGCUCCCUGGCCAGAUGGAUGAGCUGAGUGAUCAGGCCUGGGGAGGAGGGCUGAAAAUCCCACUGGCAGUGCCUUCUUCCCCGUAUCCAGUCUGUGGUGCUGGGAGUGCCCACUGCAAGGCCCUCACCAGGUGUCUCACAUCAGUACCUCCUCCAGCAGUUCAGACCUGCUUUAGGGAACUGGAAUCUGGAAGUGGAGAGACAUCUGAGGGUCUUUGCCAUCUGAGGACUUCCUCUCAAACUGCUGUCAUUUCCACUGAUGCUCCUCCAUCCUUCCAGACCCCAGACCCAAUAUGUGGGGAUCCCUGCCUUCCUGGGGCCUGCGCUGAACUGACUCUGAAUUCUUCAUGUCCCUUAAGGGGUGACUGUGACCGAGAAAGAGUCACUGCUUCACAGACUCUCUCCACAGCAUUUUUAGAAGCAUUCAUGGUAGGAAUGGGGUGCUUCCUACUACCUUUCAAAUGACCUCAUGCGGCAGUCAUGUAAUUUGCUAGCCUGCUUUUUACUGGCAUACAUUGUUAAAGAAAGGGAAAUGCCCAUGCCACUCUACUCCUCUAGGAAGGAAUAGGGUUCAGGAACUGGUGACAGUGGCUAUUAAGUCACCAGCCUCAGAUCUUUUCUGUGCUCCAAAAACUGCCUCCCAUAACCCUGGUCUGCGUUCUUAGACAGAGUGGUAGAUAGAAGAUAAUUUGCAAAGUACCCUGGAAACCCUGGAUAACCACUAUCGGAAGCAGAAUUCAUUUCUGUCUCUGAAUAGUUCUGGUCCUUAACUAACCAAUGACCUCCCUGAGAAACAGAGACAGCUGGGGAAAUGGGGGCUGUGUGCUCCAUGAAGUCAUCUAAUGACCCUCUGAGAUACUCAUGGGCCAUUUAUGCAGUCCAGAGCAGCGAUUCCUGCACCGUCACACCAAAGAGGUGGGCUGACCUGAAGUGAGUCCAGGAAAGAGGGGAGAGCUAGGACACUUAAGCUGCUUGGAAAAGCUAGCUAUAGGGUAGAAAUCUUCAGUGAAGAAUUCUAACUGGGACCACUGGAGAGAGAGGUGAAUUGUGGAAAGUAACUCCAGAUGAAGCCGAGUGGUGGAAGCCCAAUCCACCUGCUUCUCCAUCCACUUGCCUCUUCUCCAUCCACCCACCUCUUCUCCAUCUACGUGCCUGCCCCAGCACUGACCAUGAGAAAACCAUUUCAUUGGUUUAAAAUAUAGUGAUUCUAAACAUCCUUUAAUGAUAUAUAUAUACUUACAUGGAGUAACAAAUCUAAUUGUCUACCACUUAAUGACUUUAUCAGAUAACACUGCUAGUUAAGAGAAAAAUAUUUAGGAAUUGUAGUCUUUUUUUGACUUUAGGGUUCCAUCCUCCAAUGGUUAAUUUUAUGUGUCAACUAGAUGGCAUUAUGAAGUGGCCAGAUUAAACAGUAUUUCUGAAUGUGUCUGUGAGGGUGUUCUGGAUGAGAUUAGCAUUUGAAUCAUGGACUCAGGAAAGUAGAUUGCCCUCCUCAGUGUGGUGGGCAUCAUCCAAUUCAUUGAGGGCCUGACUAGAACAAAAAGGCAGAAAGAGGAAUUUGUCCCUUUUGCUUCCCGCCUGCCUGUUGAGCCCUUGUACUGGGAUUUACACCAUCAGCUCCCCUGGUUCUCAGGCCUUCAAACUCGAACUGGAAUUACACCACUGGCUUUCCUGGAUCUCCAGCUUGCAGACAGCAGGUCAUGAAACUUCUCAGUCUCCAUAAUCACAUGAGCCAAUUCCUCAUAAUAAAUCUUUUUAUGUAUAUAUAUCCUGUUGAUUCUGUUUCUCUGGAGAACCCUAACUAAUAUUCAUCUCCUCUUUUAAAAAUCACAAAUGUAAUAUAGCACUGAAGGAAAUGUCUUUAAAAGAAAGAAAAUAAAAUGUGAUCCACGUAUAGUGGCUUAUGCCUGCAAUCCUAACACUUUGGGAGGCCAAAGCAGGAGGAUCAUUUGAGGCCAAGAGUUUAAGAUCAGCCUGGGCAACAUAAUGAGACCCCAGCUCUACAAAAAAAAGUUUUUUUUUAAUUAGCCAAGCAUGGUGGCACAUGCCUGUAGUCCCAGCUACUUAGGAGGCAGAGAUGGGAGGAUUGCUUGAGCCCAGAAGUUCAAGAUUACAGUGAGCUAUGUUUGUACCAUGCAGUCCAGCCUGGGUGACAUAGUGAGACCCUGUCAAAAAAAAAAAAAAAAAAAGAAAAAGGAAAAAAGAAAGAAAGGAAAAUCUGCCAUCAUUUUUUAACUAUCACAACUGCUUUCAAGUUUGCAAUUUUCCAAACCUUUCUUUAUAAGGCAGCAGACGAGUUUAGAACUCUAGCUACAUGGUCAGAUAGUCCUGGGCCCACGUCCCCAUUCUGUUAUUUAUAAAUCAUCCCAUGUUAGGUAAGUUAUUUAAUCUCUCUAAGCCACACUUGCCUCAUCAGUAACAGAGUUAAGAUGAAAAAAAAUCUCAUAGGGUUGUUGGGAGAAGUAAAUGGCAUAAAUACAAGUAAGAUGUUCACUGCAGUGCCUGACAUGUGAAAGCCAUUUUGCAUUUGGUGUCUAUCACUUUUUAUGGUUUCCUGAGGUGGUCAUGAUUAAUUAAAUGACGAACACCAUAAAGCUGGAGCUGGGGAUGCACAGGAAGUUCUGCUGUGUUGUCAAGAUCAAGGACACUCCUCAGAGACAUGGAGCAGAAUGCUUCAGGCACCCUACAAAUGAAUGUCAUUCCUGGGCAUCUCUAUUGGAGGCAACAAUAACUUUGCAACAUAAAUUAGGGACAAAAACACACUAUAGACUAUUAAGACCUUUUAGCAAUUGAAGAGAGAGAUGGAUUUGAUGUGAUAAGUGUUUUAAAGUCCUGUUAUAAAAGAAUUGAAAUUUCUCAGCAUAGACUAUCCCAUUUCAUAAAGAAAAUAUCAGUGUAUAAUAUGUAACAGGAAGAGUUAUAUAUGUAGACUAUGAAUCAGAACAGAAAAUGUGAAACAGAAUGAAAAUGUGAACUGAACCCUUGGCCACACCUGAUGCAGUUUCACAGAAUCCACGUGUGGAGGGAUUGGAAGACAAUACCAAAAUCACACAGUACAGUAAAUGCAGUUAGUGUUUAUUUUCAUUGUAUAAAAUACCUCUGAGGUUCUCAUUCUGUAUGGCGGGCUUGGUCGCUUCAAUUUAUCUUUUUGCUUUAUUAUACAAUUUCAAGUAAAAAAUGCCUCUGGGUAUCAUCGUAAGUAAACAUCUGAUAGGCUAAUCUCGAAUAAUAAUUACAGUUAAGAUUCUGGUGCCUGGGAUAGACACCAAGUGCCUUUUACUAAGCAGCGGCUUAAGUGAAGUUUUUUCUUGCCUCAGUGGGUUAUUCAUUCCAGAAGAACAUUUGUAACUACAGUCACUGGGUUGCACAUAGUUUUGUAUUUUUUUAAAUUUAACAUAAUACGUUACAAUGACUCACAGGUUGUUGCCUAGUUUAAUGAAGAACAAUUUCUUAAAGAACAUUGUGUUCAUUAUCUCUCCUCGAAAAAAGAACAAAUGAAGAUCAUGAGAUUGUUUAAAAUGUCAAAUUUUGAAAAGCGUUCUAUGGAGUAAAAGAAGUAAAGAUCAUACUCAGAGAUAGACACUUCCUUCUUUAGUUUUAUUGUUUCUAAAUUUUGCUUUGUUGAGCAAGACCAUAGAGUUAAAACAACAAGGAGUACGUUUUAUCUUAAGAAAUUUUCCCAGGGGUGAAUAAGUCAGUUAAGAGGCAGCCUCUUUUUCUGUUGUAUUUGUCUUUAAGAAGGAUGGCUCAUGAUGCCCAGUUCUGAUGACAGAACCUGGAUAAAGACUAUUAAAAUGAACUCUGGUCUUGUCUGGGCCCCAACUGGCUGGGAUAUUGUGCUGCAUGCUCAGAUGGCAUUUUGAGACCCAGCCGUCCUUCUUGGAUUUCCCUCCAGCCAGAACCUCCAGCAAAAGUUUCUGUGGAGACAUUUCGCCUGCAGCUUAGAAUAUCUACUAUUUCUCCUGGAUGAGACUCCCACUCCAUAAGAAAAUCCUUCCCUGGAACAGAGGGCUGGGAGAAAGACAAGCAAUUACCGUUGCUUCCUAUAUUGUUUACUGAACUCUUUAAAACACAAGAAUCUAUUUUAAGAACAUGGGUCCUUAAUUUGGCUUGCUCACGGAAGUAUGGUAUGUCAUGGGACUACAAGAAGAUGAAAAUUCUACAGCAGUACAGCUGAACUUUUCCAAGAGCUCAGCACCAGGUUUAACCUUACUAUUAUCCACAGGUAAUUCACAGAUGAGGAAACUGAAGCUUAGAGAGUUAAAUAACUUGCUUGAGGUGACGCAGUAAAUAAAUAGCAGACGCAGUACUUGGAUAUAAUCUCUACUGCCUCUUACCACACUGGCCCAGGAUACAUGCUGUUUAGCAAAGCCAUUAUCGGAGUCCUUCAUAUCUAGGGGCAAGAAGGCCAGAUAAGGAGAGACCAGGGAAAGAGAAUAGCAGUGAUCCUAUGCCCUCCCUUUAUGACAUUCCUUCUAAGUUCUUGCCCCACAUCCUAAUCUACUUAUCAUUAAGAAUUUUUAACUCUUGACUUCCUUUAGUCUUUCCCGUCUUCUUAGAAACUCCUCCAGCCUUGGCCUGGGGCGCUCUCUUUCUCCCCACUCCUUUCCGCCCUUUGACCUGUCUAGCUCCCAGGAGAUUUCUUGCCACUGGCCCAGGUCAACAAACAGACUCAUCAGGGGCCUGCCGUAAGCAUGAUUCUGCUCUUCUUAUCCUGAGUUAUACACUGAGGCUCCACAGGCCCUGAUAUUUCUGACGCAAGACAGGUGAGAUCCAAUAUUGGGGCUUAGCCCAGGAAGGCUCUUGGCUUUGCCCAAGAAAGAAUUCAAGUGUGAGCUGCUGGUGUUAAACAACAACUUUUACGAAGUGACAGUGUGCAGCAGCAGGACAUAUACUGUUCCUUGCAGAGCAAGGCUACCCCAUAGGCUGUGUGCCCAGAGUAGCAGGUCAGAGGCAGUUAUGCACUCACAUUUAUACCCACUUCUAAUUAUAUGCAAAUUAAGGGGCAAUUUAUGCAGAAAUUUUUAGGAAAAGGGUGGUAACUUCCUGGUUGUCAGGUCAUUGCCAGGGAAAGGGGCGGUAAUUUCUGAGUGUUGCCAUAGCAAUGGUAAACUGACAUGGUACACUGGUGGGUUUGUCUUAUGGAAAACUGCUUCCACUCCAGCCCUGUUUCAGCUAGUCCUCAACUUGGUCCUGUGUCUGAGCCCUGCUUCCAGAGUCAAGUCCCACCUCCUACUUUACUUCCACUAUUUGACAGACUCAUGGCUCUCUAUUUGGGAUCUUAGAUAUUUGGCUCCACUAUUGCCCAGUUCUGCUCUUCCUUGAAUGAUUAAUGUUUGGACAAUUUAUACUGCCACCCAAAGAAUCUGAGGGUUCAAGUUUGACCUUAUGCUAAUAAAAUUUUUAUGCCAAGUAAGUUUCUUUUUUUUUACGUUUUAGAUUCAAGGGGUGCAAGUGUAGAUUUGUUACAUGGGUAUAUUGUGCAAUGCUGGGAUUUGGACUUCUAUUGAACCCAUCACUCACAUAGUUAAUAUAAUACCCAAUAGGUAGUUUCCAACCCUUACCCUACUCCCUUGCUCCUCACUCUUGGGGUCCCCAGUGUCUGUCUAUUGUUUCCGUCUUUAUGUCUGUAUGUACCCAUUAUUUAGCUCCCACUUGCAAGUGAGGACAUGUGAUCAUUAAUUUUCUGUUUUUGUGUUAAUUUACUUAGGAUAAUGGCCUCGAGCUGCAUCCGUGUUGCUGCAGAAGACAUGAUUUCAUUCUUUUUUACAGCUGCAUAGUAUUCCACUGUGUAUACAUACCACAUUUUCUUUAUCCAGCCCACUGUUGAUGGGCACCUAAAUUGAUUCCAUGACUUUGCUACUGUGAAUAGUGCUGCAAUAAACAUAUGAGUACAGGUGUCUUUUUGAUAAAA